UACGAAGGGGGCUAGCGUUGCUCGGAAUCACUGGGCGUAAAGCGCACGUAGGCGGAUUGUUAAGUCAGGGUGAAAUCCUGGAGCUCAACUCCAGAACUGCCUUUGAUACUGGCGAUCUUGAGUCCGGGAGAGGUGAGUGGAACUGCGAGUGUAGAGGUGAAAUUCGUAGAUAUUCGCAAGACACCAGUGGCGAAGGCGGCUCACUGGCCCGGUACUGACGCUGAGGUGCGAAAGCGUGGGGAGCAAACAGG
rnacentral:rRNA from 1 species